AGGACUGUAGUUAAGUAUAACAUUUGGUUUGCAUCCAAAAAGUAUUGAGUAUCAAUCUGUCUUA
rnacentral:tRNA from 5 species